AACGCUAGCUACAGGCUUAACACAUGCAAGUCGAGGGGAAACGACAUCGAAAGCUUGCUCUUGAUGGGCGUCGACCGGCGCACGGGUGAGUAACGCGUAUCCAACCUGCCCACCACUUGGGGAUAACCUUGCGAAAGUAAGACUAAUACCCAAUGAUAUCUCUAGAAGACAUCUGAAAGAGAUUAAAGAUUUAUCGGUGAUGGAUGGGGAUGCGUCUGAUUAGCUUGUUGGCGGGGUAACGGCCCACCAAGGUAACGAUCAGUAGGGGCUCUGAGAGGAAGGUCCCCCACAUUGGAACUGAGACACGGUCCAAACUCCUACGGGAGGCAGCAGUGAGGAAUAUUGGUCAAUGGGCGAGAGCCUGAACCAGCCAAGUAGCGUGCAGGAUGACGGCCCUAUGGGUUGUAAACUGCUUUUAUAAGGGAAUAAAGUGAGUCUCGUGAGACUUUUUGCAUGUACCUUAUGAAUAAGGAUCGGCUAAUUCCGUGCCAGCAGCCGCGGUAAUACGGAAGGUCCGGGCGUUAUCCGGAUUUAUUGGGUUUAAAGGGAGCGUAGGCCGGAGAUUAAGCGUGUUGUGAAAUGUAGACGCUCAACGUCUGCACUGCAGCGCGAACUGGUUUACUUGAGUACGCACAAAGUGGGCGGAAUUCGUGGUGUAGCGGUGAAAUGCUUAGAUAUCACGAAGAACUCCGAUUGCGAAGGCAGCUCACUGGAGCGCAACUGACGCUGAAGCUCGAAAGUGCGGGUAUCGAACAGGAUUAGAUACCCUGGUAGUCCGCACGGUAAACGAUGGAUGCCCGCUGUUGGUCUGAAUAGGUCAGCGGCCAAGCGAAAGCAUUAAGCAUCCCACCUGGGGAGUACGCCGGCAACGGUGCAACUCAAAGGAAUUGACGG
rnacentral:rRNA from 1 species